rnacentral:rRNA from 1 species
AGUGAACGCUGGCGGUAGGCCUAACACAUGCAAGUCGAACGGCAGCACAGUAAGAGCUUGCUCUUACGGGUGGCGAGUGGCGGACGGGUGGGGAAUACAUCGGAAUCUACUUUUUCGUGGGGGACAACGUAGGGAAACUUACGCUAAUACCGCAUACGACCUACGGGUGAAAGCAGGGGAUCUUCGGACCUUGCGCGAUUGAAUGAGCCGAUGUCGGAUUAGCUAGUUGGCGGGGUAAAGGCCCACCAAGGCGACGAUCCGUAGCUGGUCUGAGAGGAUGAUCAGCCACACUGGAACUGAGACACGGUCCAGACUCCUACGGGAGGCAGCAGUGGGGAAUAUUGGACAAUGGGCGCAAGCCUGAUCCAGCCAUACCGCGUGGGUGAAGAAGGCCUUCGGGUUGUAAAGCCCUUUUGUUGGGAAAGAAAAGCAGCAGGUUAAUACCCCGCUGUUCUGACGGUACCCAAAGAAUAAGCACCGGCUAACUUCGUG